GUAAAAUUAGACAUUUGAUGUGAUUUAAUCCUUUGGGACUACAGGACUUGCUAGUGCUCUAGACUAGUCUUCACGGUCUCUAUAACAAACAGUUACAGAAAAGCACCUGCAGAGAGAGAUUUAUGCUCUGUGUCUCACAUCCUGAGGCAGAUGGAGUGAAUCAUCACUGCAGGUACCACUUUAUCUUCAGACCAAGGAGGAACCUGGAGGUCUAACUGUGGCCUGAUGUCUAAUCGUUAGAUGACCAGAGUUUCUGACAAUGCAGCCACACCUCGUUCUGGAAAUUGCAGCUACCUCAGAAAUUCUGCAAGCUAUCCUGAAAGACAGUAUAAUGGAGACUGGGAAGUAUUCUGAAGUUGCUGUGGAUAAACAAAGAAGUUCUGCAGCACACAGCAAGACAGAAAGGAAUGCUUCUGCAACUGAGAUGUCAUCAGAAGAUUUGAUAAAGGGCUAAGCUUAAAUUAAUUAAAAAUAUAAUAAAAUCAAGCUACACACAUUGGAGAACCCA
rnacentral:lncRNA from 1 species